GGGGUUGUGGCUCAGUGGUAGAGCAUUUGUCUAACAUGCAUGAGGCACUGGGUUCAAUCCCUGCACCA
rnacentral:tRNA from 1 species